GACGAACGCUGGCGGCGUGCUUAACACAUGCAAGUCGAACGGAGCACCCCUGAAGGAGUUUUCGGACAACGGAAGGGAAUGCUUAGUGGCGGACUGGUGAGUAACGCGUGAGGAACCUGCCUUUCAGAGGGGGACAACAGUUGGAAACGACUGCUAAUACCGCAUGAUGUAUCGGGGUCGCAUGGCACUGAUACCAAAGAUUUAUCGCUGAAAGAUGGCCUCGCGUCUGAGUAGCUAGUUGGUGAGGUAACGGCCCACCAAGGCGACGAUCAGUAGCCGGACUGAGAGGUUGACCGGCCACAUUGGGACUGAGAUACGGCCCAG
rnacentral:rRNA from 1 species